rfam:Sorghum bicolor cultivar BTx623 chromosome 7, whole genome shotgun sequence.
AUUCCAUGAUGGGGACAUUCUAAGAUGUAGUCUUGAAAGUGCUCCCAUGCUUCUGGAACAGACUCGUCAAGUUGUUGCUUAAAGCUCAAAAUUUUCCCACGGAGAGC